GAAGGCUUCAAUCCACCUUGUAAAGGUAUCCACGCAUAUAAGAAGGUAUUUGAAUUUCUUGACACGGGGCAUAUGAGUAAAGUGAAUUUGCCAGUCUUGCGUGGGGGUAAAUCCCUGCGCUUGGUGAGCAGGAAAAGGAGGAGGUUUUAAACAUCCCUAGGGGUUUGUAGAGUGGCAGAUGGAGCCCUGAGAUGUAAUUGUUUUAAGGAUGGACUUCCAUGAAGGGAAGGAGAGGGUCUAAGAGAUGGGCCAAAGGUUUAUGUUCUACAGGAAAGUGUUUGUGAAGGACGAAAGGAUAAAAUGGGCUUGCAAGGCAGGAAGAAAGAAUUUUCCCUGAUCCAAAAACCAAUUGCCUUGAGUAGGAAGUGACUGCUAAGUUAAGGAUUCAGAAGGAGACUAGUAGGAGUAAUUGUUGAAAAAGAAAAAUAUUGUCCACUAGGGGGCGAUAUUGGUGCGUUUGCUUCCUUUUUAGCUGUCUCAUCAGCAUAAGCAUUUUCUUGGGCAAGGGAUCUACAGUUUUUCUGGUGUUCUUUGCAGUCGACAACUCCAGCCUUGGCUGGGAGAAGGGCUGCUUUAAGGAGAGCUUUUAUGAAAGAAGCAUUGAUAAUGGAGAAUCCUUGUGUAGUGAGAAAGCCCCUUUCUGCCCAGAUGACAGCGUGGUGAUGGAGGAUACGGGAAGCCUAUUUGGAGUCGUGAUUCUCUAAAGAGACCACCUGGCUGGGUGCUCAAACCACAUUGGCUGACCCAAAAGACAUCCAAGAGCUGCUUGGAGGGCACUAAAAGUUGACGGUCUUGGCCGGCUUCACAUCCUCAAUUUCCGCAGUCAGCCAGCGGUAAGUGCGAUGAAGCCGCAGCACCUCAAUGGGCUUGAGUUCCAGUGGUGUUGGCUGAAUACCAAGGUCUAAGCCAGGCAGGUUAGGAAAUUUCAUGUCUGUGAUGUGAAUCCGCUCCACUUUAUCCAUUGUUGUCCAGGGCUCAAAUAGGCUUAUUUCAAAUAUUCUUGCUAUCCAUCGAUAGGCAAAAGUGGUAUGGGGUAUGGGAGGAAUAAUCUGUGAGUGACAGCAUAGAUGUACUUCACCAGGUCAAAGAGGAGGUACCGAUUUGGCCCAACGAAAGCAAAGGUCUUCCCGCUGGCAUGAGGAUCCUUAAUUGCAUUAAUAAUUCCUUUGGAUACAUUUGAGACAUAUACUGGUUGUUUAACUGUCUUCCAGCCCAAGGAAACAAGGGGUAUAGGACC
rnacentral:lncRNA from 13 species